AGAACGAACGCUGGCGGCAUGCCUAAUACAUGCAAGUCGAACGAGAUCCUUCGGGGUCUAGUGGCGCACGGGUGCGUAACGCGUGGGAAUCUACCCUUGGGUUCGGAAUAACAGUUGGAAACGACUGCUAAUACCGGAUGAUGACGAAAGUCCAAAGAUUUAUCGCCCAGGGAUGAGCCCGCGUAGGAUUAGCUAGUUGGUGAGGUAAAGGCUCACCAAGGCGACGAUCCUUAGCUGGUCUGAGAGGAUGAUCAGCCACACUGGGACUGAGACACGGCCCAGACUCCUACGGGAGGCAGCAGUGGGAAUUG
rnacentral:rRNA from 1 species